AGAACAGUUUUGAAGUCUGUGGAGCCUUUAAGAGGUGGAGUCUAGCUGGUAGAAAUAGAGCAUUGUAGUGGGUAGCCAUUCCAGCUUUGAUCUGGAAGUUCCAACCCCCAUUGAGGCUUUGGUAACUGCCAUGCCUACAAGGCGGGGCCAAGAGAGCGCCCUGAAGACCGGAGAUCCAGAUGCCACUCUCUCUCUGUUCCUGGACCCUGGAUGGUGGAGGUUGACCGAGCAGAGUUCUCCAGAGAACACCGCCGGACUGUGACACACCAUCCCCAGACCCUGAAACCUACCAAUCCGUUCAUUUAAAACCCUGCUAAGAGGCCAGAGAGAGAGAGAGCAGUCACUGGCGUGCAGAAAGCCGUGGGUUCAAAGCUGAGGAGACGGCUCAGUGGGCAAAGCACUUGCUGCACAAGCGUGAGAACUGACAAGUGCCAAGUGGCCAAGGAUGUCAGGAAGAAUGUUGCAUCUGAACCAGCCAGAGUCUGCCACUGCACCCCUGCCUCGGGAGGCUCUGAGCCAGCUGGGCUGCCCAGCACCUGGGUUCCAGCUGCUAGAGCCAGGCAGUUGAACACCAGGCUGGGGGAGGCCCAGGAAGAGCAAUGAUAACUUCUGUUUCAAAAUAAAUGUUCUGAGCUUGGCCUCUCCUGCAGCUGCUGGUCGGAGAUGGUGCAGAUAUUCCCAUUGUCCCAGAAAGACCCAGGCUCUGGAGCAAACGAUCAGAUUCCACUCAAUCCCUGUACACCUCAGCUGCUCCUCUGCUAGCUCUUUAAGAUGGAGAGACGUAGUCCAUUACAUGUUAGUGCGGAUUUGUGGAGGUGAGAAUAAAGAGCCUGUGUACAGUU